AUUGAACGCUGGCGGAAUGCUUUACACAUGCAAGUCGAGCGGCAGCGCGGGGCAACCUGGCGGCGAGCGGCGAACGGGUGAGUAAUACAUCGGAACGUGCCCAGACGUGGGGGAUAGCCCGGCGAAAGCCGGAUUAAUACCGCAUGAGAUCUAAGGAUGAAAGCAGGGGACCUUCGGGCCUUGCGCGUUUGGAGCGGCCGAUGGCAGAUUAGGUAGUUGGUGAGGUAAAGGCUUACCAAGCCUGCGAUCUGUAGCUGGUCUGAGAGGAUGAUCAGCCACACUGGGACUGAGACACGGCCCAGACUCCUACGGGAGGCAGCAGUGGGGAAUUUUGGACAAUGGGCGCAAGCCUGAUCCAGCCAUUCCGCGUGCAGGAUGAAGGCCCUCGGGUUGUAAACUGCUUUUGUACAGAACGAAAAGG
rnacentral:rRNA from 1 species